rnacentral:rRNA from 1 species
GCGAACGGGUGAGUAACACGUGGGUAAUCUGCCCUCGGCACCGGGAUAGCCCGGGGAAACCCGGAUUAAUACCGGAUAGCCCUUUCGGCCUUCGGGCCGGUCGGAAAAGGUAGCUUCGGCCUCUGGCCGAGGAUGAGCCCGCGGCGGAUUAGCUUGUUGGUGGGGUAACGGCUCACCAAGGCGACGAUCCGUAGCUGGUCUGAGAGGACGAUCAGCCACACUGGGACUGAGACACGGCCCAGACUCCUACGGGAGGCAGCAGUGGGGAAUCUUGCGCAAUGGGCGAAAGCCUGACGCAGCGACGCCGCGUGAGGGAAGAAGGCCUUCGGGUUGUAAACCUCUUUCAGGAGGGACGAAGCUACUCGGGUGAAUAGCCCAGAGGGUGACGGUACCUCCAGAAGAAGCCCCGGCUAACUACGUGCCAGCAGCCGCGGUAAUACGUAGGGGGCAAGCGUUGUCCGGAUUUACUGGGCGUAAAGAGCGUGUAGGCGGCUACGCAGGUCUGUUGUGAAAACUGGAGGCUCAACUUCCAGACGUCGACAGAAACCGCGUGGCUAGAGUCCGGAAGAGGAGAGUGGAAUUCCUGGUGUAGCGGUGAAAUGCGCAGAUAUCAGGAAGAACACCGAUGGCGAAGGCAGCUCUCUGGGACGGUACUGACGCUGAGACGCGAAAGCGUGGGGAGCGAACAGGAUUAGAUACCCUGGUAGUCCACGCCGUAACGAUGGGUGCUAGGUGUGGGAGGUGUCGACUCCUCCCGUGCCGCAGCUAACGCAUUAAGCACCCCGCCUGGGGAGUACGGCCGCAAGGCUAAAACUCAAAGGAAUUGA